GAUGAACGCUGGCGGCGUGCYUAACACAUGCAAGUCGAACGAAGCGCUUGUAUUUGAUUCUUCGGAUGAAGAUACUUGUGACUGAAUGGCGGACGGGUGAGUAAYGCGUGGGUAACCUGCCUCAUACAGGGGGAUAACAGUUAGAAAUGGCUGCUAAUWCCGCAUAAGCACACAGUGUUGCAUGACACAGUGUGAAAAACUCCGGUGGUAUGAGAUGGACCCGCGUCUGAUUAGCUAGUUGGUGGGGUAACGGCCUACCAAGGCGACGAUCAGUAGCCGACCUGAGAGGGUGACCGGCCACAUUGGGACUGAGACACGGCCCAAACUCCUACGGGAGGCAGCAGUGGGGAAUAUUGCACAAUGGGGGAAACCCUGAUGCAGCGACGCCGCGUGAGCGAAGAAGUAUUUCGGUA
rnacentral:rRNA from 1 species